GGACCCGCAGAGCACAAUAUUCUCUCCAUUCUUUAUAGAUAUGACACACAGGCCCUCCUCAUCAGAGAAUAACAACAAUACCCUUACACUGACCUCACCGUCACACACCCAUAUACACUACACACUCUUAUUUCCACCGGGAUACACACAGAUAUGGAUAGAUAAGAGAUGACGUGAGAAAGAGAGAGCUACGAGAGAGUGAGAGAGAUCUGCGAGAGAGAUAUCUGUGAGAGAGUGACAGAUAUUUGCAAGAGAGGGAGAGAUCCGCGAUUGAAAUCAAAAGAGAACGAUGACAAAGCAGUUUCCGGCGAGUGAGAGCUUGAGGAACACGAGUUUGGUGGCUUGAUUACUGUUCCGACGAGCCUAUCUAGUUUUCAUAAAUUCGUUCAAAACCCAUCGAAUACGUCUCAACUGAUAUCUCUUUGUUGUUUUGGUCAUAGCCGAAGUUUACCGGGGUUACAACAAACCUCGAUCUACAUUUGAUUCCGUCCAAACCCAUUGGAAUCGGGCUGAAUUUCUCUUAUUUCUCAUGAUUUUUAGUUCGAGGUUGUGUGGUUUCGUGAGAAUCUGGUCCAGGUCUCUUUGUUUUUGUGAUUCUCAGUUCCGAGUUGGAUGAGUUUGUUUGUUUGAGAUUCGUUUGUUUGAGGUUCGGUUCGAGGUUUCCGAAUGCGGAUUCUCUUUAUUCGAAUUACAGAGUUUGAAAGCUACGAGUCGAGGUCCAAUUCUAUUAUCUCUCUUUUUAUUUCAUUAUUUACUAUAUUUUGGUGUGUUGGUUUGAAUAUUGUGUGUUUUGUUUGAUCCUUGUUGGUGAUGAACGCGUAUUUGUUUUGAUUCGCGGUUGGUUCCUUUGAUUAUGAUUUCUAUGGUGAAAUAGCAUCUCAUUUGAGAAUUAGAAUUGGUUGUUUGGGGCGGAAUUAAAAUUGAUAAAAGUGAAUACGUAUUUGGUUUAAUUCAUUAUUAGCGGUUUAAUUUGGAAUAAGCAUGAAUUUUAUUGAAACAGAUAGGCAAAUGUAGGUUUGGGUAGGCGAAUUUAGAACUUGUUUGUGGUUGAAUGUUUGAAUGUGCGUGGGCAGUACUUGAUUCUAAUGUAUUCAUUUGGUCGGGAAUGCCCCGAGAGAUUUGUAUUGAUUUAUCCGGAGAAUGCCCCGAAGUAUCGUGUAUGCAAAUGAGGUUCGUGAUCAAGGCUCGAGGCAUCGGGUAAGGCAUUGGAAUGCAGUUUUAGGAUUAGCUUAAAGUAGGAUUUAUAUUUUACGCAUUUUUCUCUUUUGGACUGUAUAAUUGGAUUGGACACUAAAUUUUGAAUUGUUUGGUUUUGUUUGCUUGAUUGAUUGUUUUGCAUGCUUUGUGUGGUUUUUACAUUUAUAAUGUCUAAUUAGUCGAUACGCUCUACCAAGCAACUGUGGUCGAACCACGGGAUCGAGGGGUGUCAACACCUUCCCCUCGGUCAACAGAAUUCCUUAGCCAGAAUCUCUGUUCGCAAACCAGUUUAAAGAGUCAAAUUGUUUUGAAAAGGAUUUUCAAAGGUGACUUGGCACACCCGAUUUAUGCCAAGUGGCGACUCUGGGUUUUAAAUAUAAGAAGUCUUUUCGAAACAAAUCUUCAUUUUGUCACUUUAAUAAUAAAAACCCUUUUGAACUAAAAUCAAAUCUUUUGGAGUUGUAAAAAAGGGGUGUGAUAGCUCUGGCGACUCUGCUGGGAACUCUUCAGAAUUCGAGCUUAUUAUUGGAGUUGUAUCGGCUUAGUUUGACACUAUAGGUGUGUAGACAUUUUGUUUGAGUUCUUUUGUGUUAUUGUUUAUCAUUGUUGAGUGCCUACGUGCUAAUUGUUUAUAGUUUUUAUCGUGUGUUACUUCUUUAUAUCUGGCAUCAUGUGCAUAACUCGAGUUAUUUAUUCUGCAACAAGUCCUCGAGUGCACGUCGUGCACACAAACUCUAGUUGAGUCAUUCUUAUUUUGGAGGGGAAAUCGUCGGACGUAUGGAGUGAGUGGAAAGCAAAGCAGCCACUAUCGACCAUAUUCUCCCCCAAACAGCCUUGUUAGUAAACCCCAACAUAGGUCAGCCUUUCGGUCAUGUUUAUCUACAUCAUAUUGAGACCUAGUGGGACCCAACAUAGGUCAUGCUAAAUGUUUCAUCUUUGAGGGUAACUUGAUUAUUUGAUGGACUGAUUCAGAGAAAACAUGUGUUAGAAGUAAGGUACGUUUGAAAAAAAAAGGAAGAAAAAAGUUAGUCGAAAAGUAAAAAAAUGAGUUUCAUAGUUUUUAGAAUUCUUUAUGGCUUUUGUUUUUCCCAAUCCAAAAAUUCAAAAAGAUUUUUUUUUACCUUUUGCACUCAUUUUUUCAAAAACAAAAAUAUCAAAAAGAUUUUUCUUUGUUUCUUUAAUAAGCUUUCAUAAUUUGAAAAUUUCAAACAAAGAUUUCUUUUAAUAGGAGCUUUUUAUAAAAUUCAAAAAAUAUGGUAGAAGUUUUGUACAUUUCAUAUAAUGAAAAUACCAAAAAGAUUUUCUUUCAUAGCAGUUGGUGUCAUUUUUUAUGUGAAGUGUCAAAUUGAAAACUCAAAAAAAGAUUUUGUUAUGUUGUUCAUCGUGUGUCUUUGGUCGUGUCUCAAGUCAGGGUGCAAUCUGUAAUUUAAUCAUUAAUUGUCCAAUCUGGACGAACUACGCACCCCUGAUUCUCCUCUCUUGGGAGUGAGAUACGUAGGCACCCUAUUGUGGGUUCGGGGAUCUUAUUUUAAAAAUCCAAAAAAAAAAAAAAAUCUUCACUUUUCAUUUAGAGUAGGUGUUUCAUGUGUAUCUUUAAAAGAAAACAACAACAAAAAAAUAUUUUCUUUUAAUAGGUUCAAGUUUCAUUUUCGUAUGAAAUUCAAAAUCGAAAAUCCAAAAAUAUUUUCUUCGGUAAUCAUACAUUUCAUUUUGUACAGGAAUCUGAAAAAAUUCAAAAGAUUUUCGUCACUCUUUAUUUAGAGUAAGUAUACAUCUUUAAAAGAAAACUACAAAAAGAUUUUUCUUUAAUAGGUUCAAGUUUCAUUUUCAUAGGAAAUUCAAAAUCAAAAACCCAAAAAGAUUUUCUUUGGUAAUUAUAGAUUUCAUUUUGUAUAAAGAUUUAAACUUGAAAAAUACAAAAAGAUUUUUGUCAAUUCUUUUGACAAUUUGUUAUUUUCUUCUCUUUGAAGUUUCAAGAAAAAGAAUGAAAAAAAGAGAGUUUAAUUGGCCAUUUUGGCAAGACUUCACGAACUGCGCAUACUUGAUUCUCCACUUUCGGGAGUGAGAUACGUAGGCGCCUUUCUUGGGUUCGGUGAUCUUUUUUAAAAAAAAAAAGAGAAAAGAGGUUAUGAAAAAGUGUUGAACUCAAACAUUUGUUAUUUUUUGUUGAGUCAGUUUAAGGUGGUUGGUUUGUGGCAUUCUGGCUGAUUUUUCACCUCACACGAAAUCCAAAGGGUUAGUUGUGUCCAACAAAGAUAUAGAGAGUGACGUCAUGGAUCAAAUAAUAAAUCAGGAAAAUGAGAGUUUGAAGCAAGAGAUUAGGUGGCUAAGCCAACAAAUGACAGAAAUACAUUGAGCUUGGGCCAGUGGGUUUCCUCCUCUUCCAUUUCCCUUUAUUGAUCCUACAAAUACCUCGAGUUUUCCACCAAAAUCUCAAAGUCAGUUUUCUACUAUUGUUGAUGCAUCGCAACAUGACUCAGAAUUCAUUCCAAGCCAAAAGCAUCUUAAUACUUCCACCACUUUUCGUCUAGCUCCUCAGUAUAAGCCUGCUACAUUCACACCACCAUAUGUCGUCUGUGAUCUUAUUGCUCAAUCCUCUAAUGGGACUUCCACACUGGCUCGCCCAACGGUUGGGCGUCCCUAUGCAGCUAGUGAACCUAUAUUCAAUACUCUUGGUGAUCAUUGUUAUACUCCUGAGCUUGCUUUUAAGUUAACUGGACCACCAAAAUUUCUUAACAAGAAGUCUAGUGUGCCAGAAGAGUUGGAGAAAAUGGUUGGAAGAAUGAAAAGUGCAUAAAGUGCUAUGAAAAAUUCUCUAGGACCUUCGGGUAAAGAAGAUGUUUCAUACAAAGACUAGGGCAUGCCUUCAAGCGCUAACCUUCCUCCAAUCUUUGAGAUAUCGACAUUUGAGGAGCAAGAUGGGCAUGAGGAAUCCGUGAAAUAUUUGGGACAAUAUUGCAAUCAAUUAACAGAACCUGGAGGAAAGAAGAAUAGGAAAUAUGGCACUGCUAUUGUAGUUGGAGAACGGGCACAUCCAAGAAGACGUCGUCAUUGCUGUCAGUCUCAAGCCCAAGUUCAUACCCAAGCUCUCCAUAAUCACUCCCAAAAUCUAUUAUACCCUGUUUCCCUACCUCCAUAUCUAGUAUAUUGCGCACAACCAUAUGUUCAACUCCCUCCUUACCCACAAUGGCAUGCAUCAACUUCUCAAAGUCAUCCUCCAAUUCCCCAAACAUACCAAAGCCCUUCUAGGCCCGAUGUUCGAUCCAAGUUAAACAAUGAAAUAAGGCAGAAAUUGAGGGAUAGUUUCACACCAAUUGGAGAGUCGUAUUCCAGUUUAUUUUAGAGAUUGGCACAACGAAUCAUGAUCACACCUCUCCUUGGGUAUACUCCUGACCCACAUUCAAGAAGUUUUGAUCCUAAUGUACGAUGUGCAUAUUAUUCUGUUAUUCAGGGUUACUGUAUUGAAGAUUGUCGUUCUUUGAAAAGAGAAAUUAAAAAGAUUAUUUAAGACAAAUUAAUUAUGGUGCAGAACAUUGAUAGUGAG
rnacentral:lncRNA from 1 species